GUAGCAAUACACCGCUGGCGACCGGCGCACGGGUGAGUAACACGUAUCCAACCUGCCCUUUACUCGGGGAUAGCCUUUCGAAAGAAAGAUUAAUACCCGAUGGUAUAACAUGACCUCCUGGUUUUGUUAUUAAAGAAUUUCGGUAGAGGAUGGGGAUGCGUUCCAUUAGGCAGUUGGCGGGGUAACGGCCCACCAAACCUUCGAUGGAUAGGGGUUCUGAGAGGAAGGUCCCCCACAUUGGAACUGAGACACGGUCCAAACUCCUACGGGAGGCAGCAGUGAGGAAUAUUGGUCAAUGGGCGAGAGCCUGAACCAGCCAAGUAGCGUGAAGGAUGACCGCCCUAUGGGUUGUAAACUUCUUUUAUAUGGGAAUAAAGUUUGCCACGUGUGGCAUUUUGUAUGUACCAUAUGAAUAAGGAUCGGCUAACUCCGUGCCAGCAGCCGCGGUAAUACGGAGGAUCCGAGCGUUAUCCGGAUUUAUUGGGUUUAAAGGGAGCGUAGGUGGACAUGUAAGUCAGUUGUGAAAGUUUGCGGCUCAACCGUAAAAUUGCAGUUGAUACUGCGUGUCUUGAGUACAGUAGAGGUGGGCGGAAUUCGUGGUGUAGCGGUGAAAUGCUUAGAUAUCACGAAGAACUCCGAUUGCGAAGGCAGCUCACUGGACUGCAACUGAC
rnacentral:rRNA from 1 species